rnacentral:misc_RNA from 1 species
GAUGAAGAACGCAGCGAAAUGCGAUAAGUAAUGCGAAUUGCAGAAUUCAGUGAGUCAUCGAAUCUUUGAACGCACAUUGCGCCCCUUGGCAUUCCGAGGGGCACACCUGUUCGAGCGUCAUUUCACCAGUCAAGCCUCGCUUGGUAUUGGGCAACGCGGUCCGCCGCGUGCCUCAAAUCGACCGGCUGGGUCUUCUGUCCCCUAAGCGUUGUGGAAACUAUUCGCUAAAGGGUGUUCGGGAGGCUACGCCGUAAAACAACCCCAUUUCUAAGGUUGACCUCGGAUCAGGUAGGGAUACCCGCUGAACUUAAGCAUAUCAAUAAGCGGAGGA